CGCUGGGCUAAGAUCACAGAGGAGAGCAGUGGCCGCUGGGCUAAGAUCACAGAGGAGAGCAGUGGCCGCUGGGCUAAGAUCACAGAGGAGAGCAGUGGGACCAGAAGCUGUUGAACCAGCAGUCAGCGGCCUGAUACAAUACGUUUGCCUGCAGCAGUAACGACUCC
rnacentral:lncRNA from 1 species